UCAUAUCUCUCUUCGGAUAUGAGAAUUUUUAAAUUCGAACCUCGUUUUGAUCCAAAGAAAGCACAAAGCAGAAGUGCUUCAAUUUUUAUCAAGCUUUACCUUAAUUAUUUGAAAAUCAAGGCCAAAAAUUAUUGCGAUUUAGGAAUUGACACUUUUAGACAUCCAAAAGGAAACCAAACUGGGUCUUUGCAGAAUACUGACGUCAACAUUUUAAUUAAUACAGCAGAACUAUUCAAUAAACAGGCAA